AGAAAAACAAUGGUAAAAUAUUUCUAAUCACACAGGUUUAUUAUUGUUGGUGUACGUCUAGUACAAACCUAA